rnacentral:rRNA from 1 species
UACGAAGGGGGCUAGCGUUGCUCGGAAUCACUGGGCGUAAAGCGCACGUAGGCGGGUCUUUAAGUCAGGGGUGAAAUCCUGGAGCUCAACUCCAGAACUGCCUUUGAUACUGAGGAUCUUGAGUUCGGGAGAGGUGAGUGGAACUGCGAGUGUAGAGGUGAAAUUCGUAGAUAUUCGCAAGAACACCAGUGGCGAAGGCGGCUCACUGGCCCGAUACUGACGCUGAGGUGCGAAAGCGUGGGGAGCAAACAGG